CCUAAACUAUGACAAGGGGAGAAAACGAUGUGUUAGACUAGUUUCUUUGCUCCUCCGUUUUAUCUCUGCAUGCUGACAGUCUAAAUUACUGGUCUUGUGCUGCUUGUCACCUUGGGGUCAAGUAAAAAUUUUCUUGCAGUGUCCGCGUGCAAGCACUAACUGAUCCAAAUGGCAGACGGUGAGGUACCUUACUGUACUUAAAUGUACUUGUAAGGGGUUAUAAACCAAAGUAACUUCUCUAAGCCAGUCCUCUGCUAGCCGUGUAAGCUGCAGUCAUGGGAAAUGGCAUUUUUGCCAAUUGCUGUCGGCAUGUCACUGAUUUAAUCUUCCAGACGCGCAGCUUUCGUUCGACCGAUGAGAGAUCACCCCUUCUAGCAAAAUCUCCUGCUGGUUGCACUGCCCCCCCGGAUGUCUCAGAACCUUGCAAGUAUGCCAAGCCAUACCCGGACGUUAUUCUCAGCAACGCAUCAGAUAAACGGCUGCAGAAACAGGCAGAAUACGUCCACGACUUACCCGAGGAGGGCAGGGAAGAAGUGACAGGGGCCUGUGUCAACAGCUGCUUGGAAUUCAGGGUUGCUACUGCAGGCCUCCUGCAGCAGGCACAGGCAUCUUGUGCUCUGGCCGUCCUUCCUGUUGACCUUGAGAGAGAGUCAAAGAUACUGUUAAACCAUGCUCGGCUGCUUGAGGCCUGCCAGGGUUGUGUGAAACUUGAGGACGGUGGCCUGGACUGUAAAACCCGCAACCAGGAAGAGCAUGUGGUACCAGCUGACAAAACAGAUGCAAGCCCUGGAAUGCCGGUGGUUUGGCAGCAAAACCAAGACUUCUUUAAGAGGGAAGAAGCCUUGAAUUUCAAACCCUUAGACAAGCCAGGUGUCCCAUUAGACUGCAGAGCUGCCGGCCCUUACUUGGGAAGCUAUGAUACAACUGGAUCCUCUGAAUGUAAUGCGUCGGGAAAGAUGGAGGAAGUCCAGAAGGCCCAACAAGCAGUCUUGUCAUCUCUCCUUCAGGAUGAGAGUGCGCAUCUGACCCACGUCACCAGCACUUGUUGCUUAUCAACUGACCCAGCAGCGUGCCCAGCUGGCGAGUUAAGCUGCAGUCUGUACAGCGAAGGGAGUAUAUUGCCAUCGAAGCAGAAGAAGCGGAAGAGGAAAAAGAAGUUUCCUUUCUUAGAGCACCCGAGUGUCAUGAUGUUAAUGAACGGGGAUGACUUGCAUGAGAGCCUCAAGGAAGACAAGGAGGUCAAGCAGAAUGGCCAUGAGGAAGCUGAUCCAGGGGAUGAUGGAAACGACCAGGAGGUCAUCGUCAUCCAGGACACCGGCUUCACUGUCAAGAUCUGUGCUCCAGGAAUAGAACCCUUCUCCCUGCAGGUUUCUCCACAAGAGAUGGUGCAGGAGAUCCACCAAGUGCUGAUGGACAGAGAGGACACCUGCCACCGAACCUGCUUCUCCCUGCAGCUGGAUGGCAACGUCCUGGAUAACUUCGCUGAGCUGAAAACCAUUGAAGGGCUGCAGGAGGGGUCGGUGUUGAAAGUGGUUGAAGAGCCCUACACGGUACGGGAAGCCAGGAUACAUGUGCGUCAUAUUCGGGACCUUCUGAAGAGCCUUGACCCAUCAGAUGCAUUUAAUGGUGUGGACUGCAAUUCCCUGUCAUUCCUGAGCGUCUUCACAGAAGGAGACCUUGGAGACAGUGGAAAACGGAAGAAGAAAGGUACCGAAAUGGAACAAAUUGAUUGCACCCCUCCUGAACAUAUCCUGCCAGGUAGCAAAGAGAGGCCCCUGUGUGCCCUCCAGCCCCAGAACAGAGACUGGAAGCCUUUGCAGUGCCUAAAAGUAUUGACCAUGAGUGGGUGGAACCCCCCACCUGGCAACCGAAAAAUGCACGGAGACCUCAUGUACCUGUACGUCAUCACUGUGGAGGAUCGACACGUUAGCAUCACAGCGUCCACCAGAGGCUUUUACUUGAAUCAGUCAACAGCGUACAAUUUCAAUCCCAAGCCUGCCAAUCCCAGUUUCCUCAGCCAUUCCCUAGUAGAGCUGCUUAACCAGAUUAGCCCGACCUUCAAAAAAAACUUCUCAACUCUGCAGAAGAAACGGGUCCAGAGACAUCCCUUUGAAAGGAUAGCUACCCCCUUCCAGGUGUACAGCUGGACAGCACCGCAGGCAGAACAUGCUAUGGACUGUGUGAGGGCAGAAGAUGCUUAUACUUCGAGGCUGGGCUAUGAAGAGCACAUACCUGGACAGACCAGAGACUGGAACGAGGAACUGCAGACCACACGAGAGCUGCCCCGCAAGAACCUGCCAGAGAGGCUGCUGAGGGAACGAGCCAUCUUCAAGGUCCACAGCGACUUCACCGCAGCAGCUACGAGGGGAGCCAUGGCCGUCAUUGAUGGCAAUGUCAUGGCCAUCAACCCCAGCGAGGAAACCAAGAUGCAGAUGUUCAUUUGGAACAAUAUUUUCUUCAGCCUGGGCUUUGAUGUCCGUGAUCAUUACAAGGACUUUGGAGGAGACAUUGCUGCCUAUGUGGCUCCCACCAAUGACCUCAAUGGGGUGCGGACCUACAAUGCAGUGGAUGUGGAGGGGCUCUACACAUUGGGGACUGUGGUGGUGGAUUACCGAGGUUACCGGGUAACGGCACAGUCCAUUAUUCCAGGGAUCUUGGAACGGGAGCAGGAGCAGAGCGUCAUAUAUGGGUCAAUAGACUUUGGCAAGACUGUGGUUUCACACCCCAAGUACCUGGAGCUGCUUGAGAAGACCAGCAGGCCCCUUAAGAUCCAGAAGCACAAAGUCCUGAAUGACAAGAACGAGGAGGUGGAGCUGUGCUCAUCGGUGGAAUGCAAGGGCAUCAUCGGCAACGAUGGGCGCCACUACAUCCUUGACCUGCUCCGCACCUUCCCCCCUGACCUGAACUUUCUUCCUAUAGACGGGGAGGAAAUGCCAGAAGAAUGUAAAAAAAUGGGAUUUCCCAAGCAGCACAGACACAAGCUUUGCUGUCUCAGACAAGAGCUUGUGGAUGCCUUUGUCGAACACAGGUAUCUCUUAUUCAUGAAACUAGCUGCACUGCAGCUGAUGCAGCAGAAGGCAAACAAACCCGAGAGCUCCAGCGUGCUGGAAAAUGGGGCUUCCCCAGAGAAUGGCACUGAGGAGAGCCAGAAAGCUGAACGGGAGGAUGGUAAAAUAGAGGAGAGCGUGACUGGAUUAGAUAGGGUUAAAGAGUUGGCGGAGACCAUUGCCUCUGACGAUGGAACAGUGGAUCCCAAAAGCCGAGAGGUGAUUCGGAAUGCAUGCAAGGCUGUUGGCUCCAUUAGCGACACGUCAUUUGACAUUCGAUUUAACCCGGAUAUCUUCUCGCCAGGAGUUCGUUUCCCUGAAUCCAGCAAAGAGGAAGUGCAGGAUCAGAAACAGUUAUUAAAGGAUGCUGCUGCUCUCGUACUCUCAUGCCAAAUUCCAGGCUUGGUCAAAGACUGCCUUGACCACACUGUGCUCCCGAUGGACGGCGCCACGUUAGCGGAAGCGAUGCACCAGAGGGGCAUCAACAUGCGCUACCUAGGCAAAGUCAUCGACUUCAUCACCAAGACCCCUGCCCAUGCACAGCUGGAUCACAUCUUUAAAAUUGGACUCAGCGAAUUGAUCACUCGAUCAGCCAAACACAUCUUCAAGACGUACCUUCAGGGUGUAGAGCUGUCGGGCUUAUCGGCAGCCAUCAGCCACUUCCUCAAUUGCUUCCUAAGCUCCUUCCCAAAUCCAAUUGCCCAUCUUCCAGCUGAUGAGCUAGUCUCCAAGAAGAAGAACAAGAAAAGGAAAAACAGGAACCUUGGCAAUGCUGAUAACACUGCAUGGGCUAGCAUGACCCCUCAGGAGCUUUGGAAGAACAUUUGUUCCGAGGCAAAAAGCUACUUUGAUUUUAACCUCAAAUGCGAAAGCGUUGAUCAAGCUGCAGAGGUGUAUAACCUACAGAAAAUUACCCUUCUUCGAGAGAUCUCCCUCAAAACUGGAAUCCAGAUCCUGCUGAAAGAAUACAACUUUGACAACCGGCACAAACCCACCUUCACGGAGGAGGAUAUUCUCAACAUCUUCCCUGUAGUGAAGCACGUAAACCCCAAAGCCUCUGACGCUUUCCACUUCUUCCAAAGUGGACAAGCAAAAGUACAGCAAGGUUUCUUGAAGGAGGGCUGUGAGCUCAUCAAUGAAGCCUUAAACUUGUUUAACAAUGUGUAUGGUGCUAUGCAUGUAGAAAUCUGUGCCUGCCUCAGGCUGUUAGCACGCCUCAACUAUAUCAUGGGAGACUAUUCAGAGGCCUUAAGUAAUCAACAGAAAGCGGUACUGAUGAGCGAGAGGGUCCUGGGCAUUGAGCAUCCCAACACGAUCCAAGAAUAUAUGCACCUUGCUUUGUAUUGCUUUGCAAACAGCCAGCUCUCAACAGCAUUAAAUUUACUGUACCGUGCACGCUACCUCAUGCUGUUGGUAUUUGGGGAGGAUCACCCAGAAAUGGCACUCUUGGACAACAACAUAGGCUUGGUGCUCCAUGGCGUUAUGGAGUACGACCUGUCCCUCCGAUUCCUGGAGAACGCUCUGGCAAUCAACUCCAAGUAUCACGGCUCCAAGUCUCUGAAGGUUGCGCUGAGCCAUCACUUGGUAGCCCGAGUGUACGAGAGCAAGGCAGAAUUCCGGUCGGCUCUCCAGCACGAGAAAGAAGGCUACACGAUCUACAAAAACCAGCUCGGAGAACAUCACGAAAAGACCAAAGAAAGCUCCGAGUACUUGAAAUACCUGACGCAGCAAGCCGUGGCUCUUCAACGCACAAUGAAUGAGAUCUACAAGAAUGGAUCCAACGCUAACAUUAUGCCACUUAAGUUCACAGCUCCUAGUAUGGCCAGUGUUCUGGAGCAGCUCAACAUUAUCAACGGGAUUCUCUUCAUUCCACUAAGCCAAAAAGACUUGGAGAACCUGAAAGCCGAGGUGCAGCGGCGCCAGCAGCUCCAGGAGGCCAUCAGGAGCAGCGAACAGCUGGAGCCAGAGGACGGCAUCUCUGAAGAGAGAGAGACUGAGACCAGCACACCUUCUGCCGAGGUCCCCCCAGCACAGGACUCUGCUUAAAUAGUGUACCUCGCUUUUAAAAGAAACAAACAAGGUUUAAACCAUCCUUUUCUGAAUCUGACCCAGGGUCUUGGACUCCCCUGAGGCAGCUUCUCCCUUUUUUUUUUUUUUUUUUUUGACAAUGUUAUUGCACUGGUACAACUAAUACACAAUGCAAAGAACUUAAGUUGAGAAAUGUAAUCUGUCUGACUGAGCUUGUAUCUGCCACCGCAGGGGGGAAGGUGGCCAGGAUGCAGCAGCAGCAUCUGAGAACAUCGCUAGCAAGGAAUUAAGAGAAUUACCUCUCCUAAAUACAACCAAGCUUUUAAACAAGGGCAGUGCCAUCAAAAUCAGCAGCAGCAGCAGCAGCAAGCCUCAACAUCCUCCUUUCCCACAUGAAGUCUAGAAAAUUUACCCUCAAACCUCAAAACUGCUGAAAACAAGCUGCACAAUGUAUCCAAGCAAUAAAAAGUUAACUCCUACAGUCUGGGAACUGUUUUCUCCAAUUGCAACCUCUACAUCGUUCUUAUGAAAAAAGAAAAAGUAUCGACGUUUGCCUUCAUGUCAAUGUCAGGAUCAACUUCUAAACGUGAAGAUUUCACUAACAGAUCUUCAGAAUGAACUCAGGGAAGCCUGAAGAAUAGGUAGGACAAGAAAGCAGCUACUUACAUGACACAGUGGAAAGAUAAAAAAGGCCAGUUAAAUCCAGUUGUGACUUGUAAAUCCAGCUCACCCUUCCCCACCCCCCCACCCCCGAGUGUUUUUCCCCCCCUUCCUUUUUAUACAUGUAUAAUUUCUUUACUAAUAGAGUUUCUUGGUAUUAACUUAUUUUAAGCUACCCUGAACUUUAUGUACAGCUGGACAGAGAAGAGUCAUUCUAAGUGCGUUUUUCCUUCAUUCUAUUCAGCAAGUUUUGUUCUCAAAUUGUUAAAAGGAUUAUCAAGCCACCACUGUCAACAAAAAGAAGGUAUAUAUUUUUUCUUUUAAAUAGCUUUCAUGGGAGACAAAAGCUACUUAAGAGUGAUAUUACCAGGCAGUUCACAUAAAAACAGAAGGAGGCAAACAGGAGAAGCAGGGUACUGACAGUAUAAGUAGACUGGGCUUGGUGAGUCUAUAGCCAAAGCUUUCAAAAUACUACAGUGCUCCACAGCCCUUGGACAACUUGCUAGCAACUAGUUUUUGUUUUUUUGUGUUUUUUUUUUCUUUUUAGUUAGUGCCCCGGGCACAUCAUUGGUCACACCACACACAAAAGCAGGACGGCUUUUUACUCUUCUAAAGUGCAAGAUGCUAUAAAAACCAUCGGCUUUCAGAUUAUGUCUAAACCACAAUAAAUUUUGCACUUUCAAGAAUGCAUCUAGGACUUCCUGGGCACGUUAAAUUAGUGUGGCACUGGAAUGUCUGUCUGUCUUCAUUUUAAAACAAACAAAAAACAUCUUUUUUGCUGUUGUCUAUUUGGUAAUGCAGUUCUCUAUACGUAUUAUUUUCAGCAAUGCCAAUUUUAGUAAGGAAAAGUGACAAAGCAGCAGUGAACCUCUAAAAUCCUCCAAUAAAUUCCUUUCACAAUCCAAACCAGUAACCUCAUUAUUGUACUUAUCACAGGAAAGGCACAGGAUUAGACAGCUGACAGAAACAUUGCAGACAGUGAAAAAAGAUCAACACAGUGUAAUAUCAAGAGGCAACAAAGCAAGAAACCCUCAUAAAUCCAACUUCUGUGUUGUUUCUUUUGACUUUUUUCUUCUUUGUCUAAACAGGGCUUUAAUUUUUGAUCCAUUUUAGGACCAUCCCUGAGAUUAUUCACUGCUUAUUAAAAGGAGAAGGUUGCAAAUCAAGCUGUUUAAAGUCUAAAUAUUCAGCAAGAUGUUUCACCUCUCAAAAACAAAAUGCUGCUCACAAGAUUUUAGUUAAGUCUUUGUCCUUGUAAACUGUUACAUGCGACAGGGAAAGAAAUGCCGUGGACAAAUUUCCACAUAACAGGUACCUUUAAUUUCUCAUUCAUGUUUAUGGAUUAUGUACACAAUUGUGGUUUACUUCACCAUUAAAUAAAGUUGCUACAUCCUAUCAGGAAUUAAAAUGCUGUACUACUAUACACUUGCAGAUGUAUACAGGAAUUUUAAAAUGCACCACUUCUGUGUAUUUGGAAUUCUCAAAAUAGGACAAAUAGCAGCAAACCAUUCCAGUCAAAAGCUGCUAAUGCAAAAAAAAAAAAAAAAAAAAAAAAAAAA